AUUGAACGCUGGCGGCAUGCCUUACACAUGCAAGUCGAACGGCAGCACGGGAGCAAUCCUAGUGGCGAGUGGCGAACGGGUGAGUAAUAUAUCGGAACGUGCCCAGUCGUGGGGAUAACGUAGCGAAAGCUACGCUAAUACCGCAUACGAUCUAUGGAUGAAAGCGGGGGAUCGCAAGACCUCGCGCGAUUGGAGCGGCCGAUAUCAGAUUAGGUAGUUGGUGAGGUAAAGGCUCACCAAGCCGACGAUCUGUAGCUGGUCUGAGAGGACGACCAGCCACACUGGGACUGAGACACGGCCCAGACUCCUACGGGAGGCAGCAGUGGGGAAUUUUGGACAAUGGGCGCAAGCCUGAUCCAGCAAUGCCGCGUGCAGGAUGAAGGCCUCGGUUGUAACUGCUUUGUUACGGAACG
rnacentral:rRNA from 1 species